GCUCCAAAUACAUCCAGAGAUGAGAAGAAAGAUGGUGACCUGAUUCUGGAAGUUCAGAUGUCCAUGUUGGUGACCUGAUUCAGGAAGUCUUUCAGGAGGAUAUCAAGCUUGGAUCUUGGAUAGAACUGGGAUGCGAGGCACUGGUGAUUGGGCAAUAUCCCUGCCUGUAGGAUUCUUUGUGGAAUGCUGGAUAUUCAUAUUCUGGUCUUUUCUUAUCUCUGGCUGCCUCAGGGAAGUAAGAACCCAUAUGGGAAAGAGAGGACAGGACUGAAGAGGGACUCAAGGAAGUUGAGCUUACUGGAUUGAGGGUGAAUGUUAAAGUUCCAGUUUGAACAGGUUUGGAGGGAGAGAUGGAUGGUGGGGAGGGCAUCAUACCUUCAUCCUUGCUAAAUACUUCCUCUUCUUUCCAGCAGAGCCCAAGCUGGAGACCAGGAGAAUCUAGAGGAAGGAGGUGACACAGGCCUGCUCCUAGUCUGAUGGGAAAACCUACGUUAUAACCUCAAGGAACCCCAAUCUGAUGGAGUUUUGCUCUUGUUGCCCAGGCUGGAGUGCAGUGCUACGAUCUCAGCUCACUGCAACCUCUGCCUCCUGGUUUCAAGCGAUUCUCCUGCUGCAGCCUCCUGGGUAGCUGGGAUUACAGGUAUCCGCCAUCACG
rnacentral:lncRNA from 1 species